rnacentral:rRNA from 1 species
AACGAACGCUGGCGGCGUGCUUAACACAUGCAAGUCGAACGCGAAAGGGAUUUCGAUCCUGAGUAGAGUGGCGCACGGGUGAGUAACGCGUAAGUUAUCUCCCCCUCCAUCUGGAAUAACUCACCGAAAGGUGUGCUAAUACCGGAUACGUUGGAAACAAGAAAGGUGGCCUCUAUUUAUACGCUACCGUGGAGGGAUGAGCUUGCGUACCAUUAGCUAGUUGGUAGGGUAAUGGCCUACCAAGGCAACGAUGGUUAGCGGGUCUGAGAGGAUGAUCCGCCACACUGGAACUGGAACACGGACCAGACUCCUACGGGAGGCAGCAGUGAGGAAUAUUGCGCAAUGGGGGAAACCCUGACGCAGCGACGCCGCGUGGAUGAUGAAGGCCCUUGGGUCGUAAAAUCCUGUCAGAUGGAAAGAAAUGUAC